AUUUUCCGCCAAGUUACAGCUAUAUUAAGUUGGUGGCCUAGAAGCCCAAA
ensembl:ncRNA Y17D7B.11 ncRNA